GCAAGCUUGCUAACCUAGGUUUAAUUAUUUAGGUCAUGAUUUAGCUAAUGAAGCUGUACCAGAUAAUUUGAAAACGUCUUGCAGUAUUUUGAAAGGAGAGAUUGCCUUCAUGAAACAACUACAGAAAUGGUUGGGAGAGAAGUGUAAAUGGAAUCUUUGUUACAGAGCUUCCAGAGAUGGUUGGAGUGCCAAAGAUUUUCACAAACAUUGUGACAAUAAAGGACCGACAGUGGUUUUAGUGAAAGCCAAUAAUUGUAUUUUUGGUGGAUAUGCUGACCAACACUGGGAAUCAGG